rnacentral:rRNA from 1 species
AGUGAUGUCUGGGAAACUGCCUGAUGGAGGGGGAUAACUACUGGAGACGGUAGCUAAUACCGCAUAACGUCGCAAGACCAAAGAGGGGGACCUUCGGGCCUCUUGCCAUCGGAUGUGCCCAGAUGGGAUUAGCUAGUAGGUGGGGUAACGGCUCACCUAGGCGACGAUCCCUAGCUGGUCUGAGAGGAUGACCAGCCACACUGGAACUGAGACACGGUCCAG